UUGAAAUACUGGUUCAAGUACGAUCACCGAAGUUAAGCAACGUUGAGCCUGGUCAGUAUCUAGACGGGUGACCACUUGGGAAUACCAGGUGUCGUAA